rnacentral:lncRNA from 1 species
CUUGCAGUUUUUCUGAAAUUGAAAAGGAAUUUUUUACAGGUUUCAAAGAAUGAAAUCAUAACCAUAAAGUUUAAUUCACCUCAGAAUCUCGCAUAUAACUAUAAGCCCAGGUAGAAACCUGUUCGAGAAUAACAACAGAUCUUACAAAAUCCUAAAGGCUUAGUAGAAUAAGGUGCUCAAAACAGCAAAUAUGAAAGCUUCAGGAAGCCACUUGCUCCUGUAUGACAAAAAAAAGGUAAUUAUAAUUGGAUAAAGAAGGAAACAUUAAGGAAAUACCAUGGCAUAAACCCUCCGAUUCAAAGUCCGGGGAGGAAAUUUUUUUUCAGUAUUGUCCCUUGAUUUCACUAAAAAUGAAGCCUCUGCCACAGAACCAAAUUGCCAAAGAUUUGAAGAAUUUGGAUUGACAAAUCUAUGAUUCAAUAGCAUACAUCCUUCUGAUUUGAAGAAGCUUCAAACAGUCUGCAACCUUUGUUUCAUAAAAGACAAGAGUGAUGAUGCUACAUUAGCUUAUAUGGGAAAUAUUCAUCAAGAUUACCACUACCUAAGCAGCAAAAUAGCUGGUUGGGCACUUGAAAAAAAGAUGUAAUCAGCAAUGUGUAAAUUCUGAUUGGUAAACAUUCAGCAUCAAGAAUAACCCAGGGGCCUAUUUUAUUUGAUGCAAACCUAUCUCUAUCAUUUAACAACUUAAAACAAAAUUUGAAGGUAUCAACUAGCUUAGUUAGUAAAACCUUGACAUUAUACCGCAAGAUCCUGGACUCAAAUCCCGCAUUUGCCACUUACCCUUUGUAGAAAAAACAAACAUCAACAAAAUCUUCUGUCAGCUAGCAAUCUGGGACUACAUUGAAAAGAGUGUAUAGCACAGCAACUCACCAUACUCAUGCUGAGUAAUUAUAACUUAAUUUGCCUUCCCUGUAACUCCUAUCACAACUUUCUUAUUUAAGAUCAAAUUUCAUUAUGGAUUCCAAGAUCCUAGUUGUACCACCACCUAAACUGUCUCUUCAUAUAGUGCCUUUUUAUUCCUAGACCAGCUGAGUGGAUACAAAUAGUAUAUCAGCCCUCUGCUAUCACAUACCUGAUCCCCUUCUAAUCAGUGGAGUCAGCCUUAAUUGUUGGCCCUUGAGACACAUUUACGAGCUCAAUGAAAGAUGUCCCUCGCAAACCAGAAGAUUUAAGAUGUUAUAUCAUAUAUGUUAAUCACAAACAGGCAUAUCACUGGGCUCAGCUGCACCAAAUUUGAGUACUAACCUUUUCUCAAAAAAGCCCAGUUGACAAAGACAAAUAUCAAACUAUACCUGCAACCCUAUCUGUGAAAACAUAAGCACGCAAGUUGCAUCCUCGAUUGAGUCUAAGGGUG